rnacentral:rRNA from 1 species
AACGAACCCUGGCGGCAGGCUUAACACAUGCAAGUCGAGCGCCCCGCAAGGGGAGCGGCAGACGUCUGAGUAACGCCUGGGAACAUACACUUUCCUGCGGAAUAGCUCCGGGAAACUGGAAUCAAUACCGCAUACGCCCUACUGGCGAAAGAUUGAUCGGGGAAGGAUUGGCCCGGGUUGGAUUAGCUAGUUGGUGGGGUAAAGGCCUACCAAGGCGACGAUCCAUAGCUGGUCUGAGAGGAUGAACAGCCACAUUGGGACUGAGACACGGCCCAAACUCCUACGGGAGGCAGCAGUGGGGAAUAUUGGACAAUGGGCGCAAGCCUGAUCCGGCCAUGCCGCGUGAGUGAUGAAGGCCUUAGGGUUGUAAGGCUCUUUCACCGGAGAAGAUAAUGACGGUAUCCGGAGAAGAAGCCCCGGCUAACUUCGUGCCAGCCGCCGCCGUAACAC